AGCAGCCGCGGUAAUUCCAGCUCCAAUAGCGUAUAUUAAAGUUGUUGCAGUUAAAAAGCUCGUAGUUGAAUUUCGGGAUCAGUAGGUCGGUCAUGCCUCAGGUAUGUACUGGUCUCACUGGUUCCCCCUUCCUGAUGAACCGUAAUGCCAUUAAUUUGGUGUUGCGGGGAAACUGGACUGUUACUUUGAAAAAUUAGAGUGUUUAAAGCAGGCUAACGCUUGAAUACAUUAGCAUGGAAUAAUGAAAUAGGACGUUCGAUCCUAUUUUGUUGGUUUCUAGGAUUGACGUAAUGAUUAAUAGGGAUAGUUGGGGGCAUUAGUAUUCAAUUGUCAGAGGUGAAAUUCUUGGAUUUAUUGAAGACUAACUACUGCGAAAGCAUUUGCCAAGGAUGUUUUCAUUAAUCAAGAACGAAAGUUAGGGGAUCGAAGACGAUCAGAUACCGUCGUAGU
rnacentral:rRNA from 1 species